rnacentral:rRNA from 1 species
CCUACUGGUGACAUCAUUGGGGCAUCUUGCACAAUGGGGGAAACCCUGAUGCAGCGACGCCGCGUGAGUUCCUCCUUCUUUCUUUCUUUCCCUCUCUCUCCUCCUUUCCUCUCCUUCCUUUCCCUUCGUAAGAAGCCCCGGCUAACUACGUGCCAGCAGCCGCGGUAAUACGUAGGUGGCAAUCGUUAUCCGGAUUUCCUGUUUGUAAAGGGAGCGUAGACGGCGAAGAAAGUCUGAAGUGAAAGCCCGCGGCUCAACCGCGGAACUGCUUUGGAAACUUUUUUGCUGGAGUACCGGAGAGGUAAGCGGAAUUCAUAGUGUAGCGGUGAAAUGCGUAGAGAUUAGGAGGAACACCAGUGGCGAAGGCGGCUUACUGGACGGUAACUGACGUUGAGGCUCGAAAGCGGGGGGAGCAAACAGGAUUAGAGAAAAGGGUAGUC